rnacentral:misc_RNA from 1 species
UGGACACUGGAUAACCAUGAAACAAUAAAUGCUGCCAUUUGUCAUGCUGUCUUAAAUCUGAAUUGUGUUGUUUGCGCACUGUGCGUCUGUGCAGUUGUUACUUGUGUCUCAGUGUCUGUGCGAUUUGUUAAUUUAUUAUUUUUAGUUUUCAAAUUUCGAUUAUAAUUAAUACAUACGUGAUACGUCUACUGUCUACGUGUCUUCUAGCUGUUUGUUUAUGUUAGCUGUCUUCCUCGUUAUCAAGAUGUUUCUCAAUCAGCUAAUUCAAACAAAGAAAUAAAUAAUUUUGAAUCUUCUGAUAAUUCCAAUGAUGCCUCUUAUGACUCAGACAAAGAUCCUCUUUGGAAAAUUGACAAAAGCCAAAGGAACUCUGUUAUUGAUGGUAUUAAUUGUUAACUCCUGUAAAAAAUGCCUCUGUGUUAGUUAAUAAACUUAUUGACAAUACAGAACAUAUAAUUCCAUCUCCUGUUGGAACUUGGACAGUUGAAAAAUACGAAGAUACACAAUUAUUAUAUAAAACAAGUUCUGAUCGCAGUAGUAUCAAAGUUAAAAAAGUAUUAUUUUGUGAUCAAAUGAUUGAUAACUCAGAAUCUAGUACUACAGCUGAUGUUUUGAAAUUGCCUCAAGAUACUAAUAUUUCUCAAACCCAGUCAAAUAUAUCUAAUGAUUUUCAAUGGUUUAUUACUAAUACUUUAGUAAAUGUAAAAUAUGACAUUGGUAGCAUUUUAAGUAUUGUACAAUCAAUAGUAUUAGUAUUAAUACAUUAAUGGCUUAUAAAAAUACUUCAGCCAAAAAUAUCAUAAAUCUUGAUAGUAUAUUUCCUAUUAAAACUCAUGGUGAAUUAGAAUCUUUGGAAACAAAAAUUAAGGCUGAUGAAAACUUUAAAAAUACAUUGAUUACUCAGUUAUCAGUAUUAAUUGAUGUUAUUGAUCUUGGAAAUAGUGUUCGAAGAAUUGUAUCAAGAAUGUUAAGUGAUGUUUUGCUAUCUGAAUAUUCGUUAUAUGGAUUUAAAUCAAAGCUGUGUUUCUCAAGUUCAAAUUGCUAUUGAGUUAUUAUAGAUGCUAUAAGAGUAAAUGUAAAGUACAGUGUUGUUCCCGAAAAAGAAAUUGAUAAUUUGCUAGGAAUUUGGCUAUCCCAUGCACCAUUUCGUAUCAAAAAAGCUAUCUCGAAAACAAGAAAAACUCUCCAGAAUUCUUUCUUCAAUUUAAUAUUAAUUGUUAUGUAUUAUUCGUUAAAUUAUAU